rnacentral:rRNA from 1 species
AGAGUUUGAUCAUGGCUCAGGAUGAACGCUGGCGGCGUGCCUAACACAUGCAAGUCGAGCGAACCCUUCGGGGUGAGCGGCGGACGGGUGAGUAACGCGUGGGUAACCUGCCCUGUACACACGGAUAACAUACCGAAAGGUAUGCUAAUACGAGAUAAUAUGUAAUGAUCGCAUGGUCGAUACAUCAAAGCUCCGGCGGUACAGGAUGGACCCGCGUCUGAUUAGCUAGUUGGCGAGGUAAUGGCUCACC